rnacentral:rRNA from 1 species
UGAGACCACGUCCCCAGAUUCCUUACCGGUGAGGCAGUCACGUGGGAAAUAUUGCACCAUGGGCGGCAGGCUUGGAUUGCAGGCAACGGUCGGCUGAAGGGAAUGACCGGCCCUUCCGGGUUUGUAACCUCCUUUAGCCAAGGAAAGAAAGGCGGAAAGGUGACGGUACUUGCAGAAAAAAGCGCCGGGCUAACUACGUGCCAGCAGCCGCCGGUAAUACGUAGGGCGCAAGCGUUAUCCGGGAAAUAUUGGGCGUAAAGAGCUCGUAGGCGGUCUGUCGCGUCUGCUGUGAAAACCCGAAGGCUCAACCUCGGGCUGCAGUGGGUACGGGCAGACUAGAGUGCGGUAGGGGAGAUUGGAAUUCCUGGUGUAGCGGUGGAAUGCGCAGAUAUCAGGAGGAACACCGAUGGCGAAGGCAGAUCUCUGGGCCGUAACUGACGCUGAGGAGCGAAAGGGUGGGGAGCAAACAGGCUUAGAUACCCUGGUAGUCCACCCCGUAAACGUUGGGAACUAGUUGUGGGGUCCUUUCCACGGAUUCCGUGACGCAGCUAACGCAUUAAGUUCCCCGCCUGGGGAGUACGGCCGCAAGGCUAAAACUCAAAGGAAUUGACGGGGACCCGCACAAGCGGCGGAGCAUGCGGAUUAAUUCGAUGCAACGCGAAGAACCUUACCAAGGCUUGACAUACACGAGAACGCCCUAGAAAUAGGGAACUCUUUGGACACUCGUGAACAGGUGGUGCAUGGUUGUCGUCAGCUCGUGUCGUGAGAUGUUGGGUUAAGUCCCGCAACGAGCGCAACCCUCGUUCUAUGUUGCCAGCACGUAAUGGUGGGAACUCAUGGGAUACUGCCGGGGUCAACUCGGAGGAAGGUGGGGAUGACGUCAAAUCAUCAUGCCCCUUAUGUCUUGGGCUUCACGCAUGCUACAAUGGCCGGUACAAAGGGCUGCAAUACCGUGAGGUGGAGCGAAUCCCAAAAAGCCGGUCCCAGUUCGGAUUGAGGUCUGCAACUCGACCUCAUGAAGUCGGAGUCGCUAGUAAUCGCAGAUCAGCAACGCUGCGGUGAAUACGUUCCCGGGUCUUGUACACACCGCCCGUCAAGUCAUGAAAGUCGGUAACACCUGAAGCCGGUGGCCCAACCCUUGUGGAGGGAGCCGUCGAAGGUGGGAUCGGUAAUAGGACUAAGUCGUAAUCAAUGGCCGGCUCACGAG